rnacentral:rRNA from 1 species
UACAGAGGCCCCGAGCAUUACCCGGAAUUAUUGGGCGUAAAGGGUGUGUAGGUGGUCAUAUUAGUCGUUUGUUAAAUCCCCCGGCUCAACCGGGGAGAUGCGGGCGAAACGGUAUGACUAGAGGGCGUGAGAGGUACAUGGAACUCUAGGUGUAGGGGUGAAAUCCGUUAAUAUCUAGGGGAACACCGAAAGCGAAGGCAAUGUACUGGCGCGUUCCUGACACUGAAACACGAAAGCAUGGGUAGCGAACGGG